UACGUAGGGGGCAAGCGUUGUCCGGAAUCAUUGGGCGUAAAGCGCGUGUAGGCGGCCAGAAAAGUCCGCUGUGAAAACUCGAGGCUCAACUUCGAGCUGUCGGUGGAAACUUUCUGGCUAGAGUCCGGAAGAGGAGAAUGGAAUUCCUGGUGUAGCGGUGAAAUGCGUAGAUAUCAGGAGGAACACCGGUGGCGAAGGCGCACAUCUGGCCCGAUACUGACGCUGAGGCGCGAAAGCUAGGGGAGCAAACGGG
rnacentral:rRNA from 1 species